rnacentral:miRNA from 1 species
AUGGGUUACUCCAACAACCAUGACCACUUCUGCUUUUAGAAGUGGUCAUGGUUGUAGGAGUCUGUACA